CUCUCUGCUCUCGCGGCCGACUCGCAAGAUGGCGCCGCAGAAAGACAGGAAGCCCAAGAGGUCAACCUGGAGGUUUAAUUUGGACCUUACUCAUCCAGUAGAAGAUGGAAUUUUUGAUUCUGGAAAUUUUGGUACCUUCCCUAGUGAAUAUCUAGGGUUCUCUUCCCUAGUUUUGCAUUUUUUCUGUUUUAAAAUAGGAGCAAUUUCUACGGGAGAAGGUUAAAGUCAAUGGCAAAACUGGAAAUCUCGGGAAUGUUGUUCACAUUGAACGCUUCAAGAAUAAAAUCACAGUUGUUUCUGAGAAACAGUUCUCUAAAAGGUAUUUGAAAUACCUUACCAAGAAAUACCUUAAGAAGAACAAUCUUCGUGAUUGGCUUCGAGUGGUUGCAUCUGACAAGGAGACCUACGAACUUCGUUACUUCCAGAUUAGUCAAGAUGAAGAUGAAUCAGAGUCGGAGGACUAGGCAAAGGCUCCCCUUACAGGGCUUUGCUUAUUAAUAAAAUAAAUGAAGUAUACAUGAGAAAUACCAAGAAAUUGGCUUUUAGUUUAUCAGUGAAUAAAAAAUAUUAUACUCUUGAACUUUUGUCUCAUUUUUUUGAGUAUGCUGUUUAUAUGAUUUUGAUUUCCCUCUGAUAACUAUCAACAGUAUUUAAAUAGCUUAUAGCUGGUAUAAUUUUUUCCCACGAUUUCCAAAAUCUUUUAUGUACUCAGGUAAAAGUAGCGUUAUAUAGGAAAUCUUUUUUUUAGACACUCUCGUUCUGUCACCCAGGCUGGAGUGCAGUGACUCAGCUUCCUAAAUAGCUGGAAUUACAGGUGUGAGCCACCAUGCCCGGCUAAUUUUUUGUACUUUUAGUAGAGUAGGGUUUGGCCAUGUUGGCCAGGCUGGUUUCAAACUCCUGACCUCAAGUGAUCUACCCACCUCGGCUUCCCAAAGUGCUGAUUAUAGCUGUGAACCACCAUGCCCGGCCAGGAAAUCUUACUGUAGAACAAUUUUUUAUAUAGCUGUAUAAAAUGUAUAUGAUUGUCUUGACAGUCUCAAAUACUGUUUUUAAUAGCUUGUAAAUGUAAUCUCAAGUGCUUAGAACAGUUCUUACAUAUAAGUUGCUCUGUAGUUUGCUCUUAUAGUUAGCCCAAAGACUCUGGGUGUGAGGCCUGCUGUAAACCAAUGUUAAACUGCUUAUUAGAAAGCCCUAACCACCUGCUUUGUAGGCACCAGAAACUCAAAACCAAAUCUCAACUCAGCUACAGAAUCUACUGUGGUCCUUGUCUGAAAAAAUUAGUUCACUCGGUUGGAAUCUUGUCUCAGAGCAUCCUCAUCUCUUUCUCAAAAGCCCCUACCCCAACACCGGCGUGUUGGUUGUCUAUUGAAACUUACAAGUGGAUGGACCCUUUCUCCCGAAUAAACUGGCCUUUGAAAGCUCUAAUCGAAAUGGUUUGGCAAAAUCCAUACUGCAGGAGAUUAGGGAGGACAAGAAUGAUGUGCCUUUUUGUACUGCUGAGCCUGAUGGUGGUGCCACUACUUCAGGUACUUAGAUGAGUCUUGAUGCUAAUAGAAUUGUGUCGCCAAACAUAUCUGGACAGUUACAACCUAAUCUAUGCAUUAAUUGGUUUGGGAAUUGCUUGAAAUUAUUGUUUAAUUCAAUGUUUUAAUUCGUUUUCCUAAAAAUUUAAGUGCCCCCAUCAUCGUGCAAUACCUCAGUGCAGCAACUCCUUGAUUCUUGGAUGACUGAACUUCCUAACUUGGCUCUGCCCCAUUGUUCCCAUUUUUCAUGUUUUUCACAAAUAGUUAACCAGGUACCUACUACUGUGCACCGCUGCAGAGCAUUGAGGAUGUAUGUGAUGAGUAAAAACACCCAGCCUGCUCUGCUGUGUUAGUAUUAUGACGGAAACUGAUCAAAUCACAUGUGAACAAAUUUACUGCUACAAAAGGGAGGGCUUAAUAAAAGGAAUUUCAUCUGGGAAGGCAAA